GAAAUGCGAUAAGUAAUGUGAAUUGCAGAAUUCAGUGAAUCAUCGAAUCUUUGAACGCACCUUGCGCUCCUUGGUAUUCCUUGGAGCAUGCCUGUUUGAGCGUCAUUUCAACCCUCAGAACCCCUUGCGGGAUCUGGCGUUGGGGAUUGGCAUCCAGCCAGCCCCGAAAUCUAGCGGCGGUCCCUCCGCGACCUCCCCUGUGCAGUAGCGAUACCUCGCAGCGGGACAGCGGUCUGACCACGCCGUAAAACCCCCAACUUCUCAAGGUUGACCUCGAAUCAGGUAGGAAUACCCGCUGAACUUAAGC
rnacentral:misc_RNA from 1 species